GGAUGCGAGGGGAUCUGGCUGUGACAGCUGUCAUCCCAUUGAUCCCCAGGGUUGAUUCCGCUGAUCUGGUUGGCUAGGUGGGGGUCCCCUUCCUCCCUCAACACUCCAUGUGCAUCCCUCCUGAAGUUGCACACUCAGUCAAAAAGGCCGGCCUUCCCUGAAUAGAGAUGGACUGGUACUAGUAGAGGAUAUACGAGUGACUGCUAGAACCUCCAACAAGCUCUCAAGAUUCUUUCUCUUCACAUCCUUUCCAACAUUUAUCCUCUCAUGUUUUGUUGAUGAAGGCCAUUCUUACAAGUAUG
ensembl:misc_RNA 7SK 7SK RNA